rnacentral:rRNA from 1 species
AGGACGAACGCUGGCGGCGUGCUUAACACAUGCAAGUCGAACGAUGACGGUGGUGCUUGCACUGCCUGAUUAGUGGCGAACGGGUGAGUAACACGUGAGUAACCUGCCCCUCACUUCGGGAUAACUUCGGGAAAUCGUGGCUAAUACCGGAUAUGAACUUCUACCGCACGGUGGUUGUUGGAAAGAUUUAUCGGUGAGGGAUGGACUCGCGGCCUAUCAGUUUGUUGGUGAGGUAAUGGCUCACCAAGGCGAUGACGGGUA